rnacentral:rRNA from 1 species
GUCCACGCUGUAAACGAUGAGCACUAGGUGUCGCGGGUAUUGACCCCUGCGGUGCCGCAGCUAACGCAUUAAGUGCUCCGCCUGGGGACUACGGCCGCAAGGUUAAAACUCAAAGGAAUUGACGGGGGCCCGCACAAGCGGUGGAGCAUGUGGUUCAAUUCGACGCAACGCGAAGAACCUUACCUGGGCUAGACAACGGAGGCCCGCCUCAGAGAUGAGGCUUUCCCUUCGGGGACUUCCGGUUCAGGUGCUGCAUGGCUGUCGU